rnacentral:lncRNA from 1 species
CUGGCUACACUUUUAUUUAGUGGAUACAAGAACUAAUACACAACACUACAAGGACAUAAGUAGAGAUAUAACGAACUCUAAUAGUAAUUAAGAGGCUUAACUAAAGACUCUUGAGCUAAAAUUAACACUUAACAGCAACGACAACAAGUUCCCGGUGGAGGAGAUUGGCCUUCACAGCAAAGGCAAGCAGGACAUGCUACUCUAUCACUUCCAGUGACG